UAAUACGUAGGCAGCGAGCGUUGUUCGGAGUUACUGGGCGUAAAGCGUGCGUAGGCGGUGGCCCAAGUCUGGUGUGAAAUCUCCCGGCUCAACCGGGAGGGUGCGCCGGAAACUGGGUCGCUCGAGUACUGGAGAGGCAAGCGGAAUUCCUGGUGUAGCGGUGAAAUGCGUAGAUAUCAGGAGGAACACCCGUGGUGUAGACGGCUUGCUGGACAGUCACUGACGCUGAGGCACGAAAGCGUGGGGAGCAAACAGGAUUAGAUACCCUGGUAGUCCACGCCCUAAACGAUGCAUACUUGGUGUGGGCAGUUCAGUCUGUCCGUGCCGAAGCUAACGCGAUAAGUAUGCCGCCUGGGGAGUACGGUCGCAAGGCUG
rnacentral:rRNA from 1 species